GCGGCAGCUGCAUCUGUACUGUUGUCAUUGCUCAGCCUUUCACCCUGCAUGUGCUUACUACAUUAUAAAAAUAACUGUAAAAUAGUAACAAUUUCUUCCAUCUCUCAACCCCUGUGAAAUGCUGAGUGACUGGAGUCAAAAGUAGUGUCUGGAGAGCAAUCAUUUUUGUGGUCAAGGAGAAGAAAGGAAGAUAAGACCCAGGAAAACACCGAUGAAGGAGAAUUAUCCUUAUUUCACCUUGGUGUUAACAAAAGCCUUAACAAGCCUGGAGCCUGAGUGCAGAAAAUGUGCUGAUACGGUAGAUAGAAAAAUGAAAAACUCUGGGCAGAAGUCAUUCCCAAAAAGAGCCUUAUAGAGUAACCAGUCUUCCAUCUGGAUAUGUUGUAACAUGAAAGUGAGUAUUAUGCUGCAAAAUUUGAAUUUGUACUUAUAAUUGUUUUGGUGUCAUACGAUCAGAAUAAAAGAAUUCUGUGUAAUUAUGGUCUGUGUAAU
rnacentral:lncRNA from 1 species